rnacentral:lncRNA from 1 species
UGCUAGCACUUUAUAGAUCUCACUUCUCAUCUUUGGAUCUUGAUCUCUUCUUUCAAAUCUUGAAGAAGAAGAUCACUGCACAAACUCUUUCGCACAGAUCCGAAAGAAUUUGAACCAGAUCACUAUGAAGAGAAGAAAAACCCUUCUUCUUCUCUUUUUCUUUCUUUUUUUCUCUCUUAGAUCUGAUUACCAUUAGAUCUAGGCAUUGGAUGAAGGGGAGA